rnacentral:lncRNA from 1 species
GCUUCUGCCGCCUCUACCCUUCCUGGAGCAACCCGUGCUUUUGAAAAAUGACCAUGCCGAAGGGGAACUAACACUCCCAGCCUGGAGCGGGUCUUGUCAAUCUGAUUUUUAAAUGAUGGAGGAGGAGGUUUGAGGACAAAGCUCAUGGUGGCAUUACCGCUAUCAGGGACGCUGCAAAAAUCAAGUGAAAAGGGGGAAAGGCUCUUCUCAAUGUGAGCACAUUCACAGACUCUGAGGACAGAGAGGUAUUUAAAGUGAACUGGAACAAACCUGCAACAUCCGGUGCGUUCUGCCUUCAAAAAUAGCUGCCAGUUAGAAAGGGUUAUUUACAUAUUGAUUUCAUGCUAACUUUGUAAUGGAAUGUGCUGCCUGCCUGCCUGCCUGAGACCUAACAACUGUCAUCAUAAUUUUUUCUAAAAAUACAGUCAGAGAAAAACACUCAUUGAACCCUCCACUGGAAAGUGGCUGCAAAAGACCCCCUGAUCCCAAACCUGCUUGACAAACCACAGCCAAGGGCAGGGACACUCAACAACUGUAACCGAGGAACAUUUCACAGCGGCAGCUGGCCCCUCCCUUCUUCCAACCAGCCAAUAUUUUUUGUCCUUCUAGAAAACCUGUCUUGUUCAAAGGCCUGAUGGAGCUGAUUCGGUUGUGAUCCUGGGCAUAUGGAUGGCAUAUUUGCUGCGAGCUAGCCGGCCCCCGCUGCUGCGGACAAAUCUUUCAUUCAUGAACAGGAGCUUGUUAGGCCAACUCCGGACUCUAAAGCCACUUAAUUAAAUUGUGGAAAGUU